GACGAACGCUGGCGGCGUGCCUAACACAUGCAAGUCGAACGGAGUGUUUAUUUAUAAACACUUAGUGGCGAACGGGUGAGUAACGCGUAGACAACCUACCCUCUAGAUGGGGACAACACCGCGAAAGUGGUGCUAUUACGGAAUGUUGUAUUGUUAUUGAUUAAUGAUAUUAUAAAAGGUGGCUUCUAUAUAUAAGCAACUGCAAGAAGAUGGGUCUGGGCCUGAUUAGCUAGUUGGGGAGUUAACAGCUCACCAAGGCAAUGAUCAGUAGCCGGUCGGAGAGGAUGAACGGCCACACUGGGACUGAGACACGGCCCAGACUCCUACGGGAGGCAGCAGUGGGGAAUCUUCCGCAAUGGACGAAAGUCUGACGGAGCAACGCCGCGUGAGUGAAGAAGGUUUUCGGAUCGUAAAGCUCUGUCUUCAAGGACGAAUGUAGAUAUUGUGAAUAAUGAUAUUUAAUGACGGUACUUGAGGAGGAAGCCACGGCUAACUACGUGCCAGCAGCCGCCGUAA
rnacentral:rRNA from 1 species